AGUGAGAAUGAAACAGGGGCGGGACAAGACGACCAGCAGCAACUGUACUCAUCUCUUCUCCAUGGCGACGUUUGUGUGUAUGAAACUAUCAAAGACAAAAGAAACAGGGAUGAUGAACAGCUUGGGGACUACAGCAAUUUACC